rnacentral:rRNA from 1 species
GAUGAACGCUGACAGCAUGCUUAACACAUGCAAGUCAACUUGAACUUCGGUUUGGGUGGCGGACGGGUGAGUAACGCGUAAAGAACUUGCCUCACAGAUAGGGACAACAUUUGGAAACGAAUGCUAAUACCUGAUAUUAUGAUUUUAGGGCAUCCUAGGAGUAUGAAAGCUAUAUGCGCUGUGAGAGAGCUUUGCGUCCCAUUAGCUAGUUGGAGAGGUAACGGAUCACCAAGGCGAUGAUGGGUAGCCGGCCUGAGAGGGUGGUCGGCCACAAGGAGACGGAGACACGGCCCUUACUCCUACGGGAGGCAGCAGUGGGGAAUAAUGGACAAUGGACCAAGAGUCUGAUCCAGCAAUUCUGUGUGAACGAUGAAGUGUUUCGGAAUGUAAAGUGAUUUCAGUUGUAAAGAAAAAAAUGACGGUACCAACAGAAGAAGUGACGGCUAAAUACGUG